AAUAGAACCCAGGUAGUCCACGCCGUAAACGAUGGAUGCUAGCUAUUGGGGGGGAAUCGACCCCCUCCGAAGCGAAGCUAACGCGUUAAGCAUCCCGCCUGAGUAGUACGAGCGCAAGCUUAAAACUCAAAGGAAUUGACGGGGACCCGCACAAGCGGUGGAGCGUGUGGUUUAAUUCGAUGGUAAACGAAGAACCUUACCAAGGUUUGACAUCCCGGUAGCCGUUCUCCGAAAGGAGAAUUUCAUUUAGUUGGACCGGUGACAGGUGAUGCAUGGCCGUCGUCAGCUCGUGUCGUGAAAUGUUGGGUUAAGUCCCGCAACGAGCGCAACCCCUACUGUGUGUUGUAUCACUCACACGGGACUGCCGAGAGAAACUCGGAGGAAGGUGGGGAUGACGUCAAGUCAGCAUGGCCCUUACGGUCCUGGGGCUACACCCACGCUACAAUGGCCGGUACAACGGGCUGCGAAACCGCGAGGUGGAGCUAAUCCCUUAAAGCCGGUCUCAGUUCGGAUCGUAGGCUGCAACUCGCCUGCGUGAAGCCGGAGUUGCUAGUAACCGCGGGUC
rnacentral:rRNA from 1 species